AUGCUCGGCGCCAUCCUCCGGUUGCGGCUCCGCGUGCUCCGGCGCCACCUCCGUCUCCGCCUCCGCGGCCGCAGGCGGCGGUGGAGCUGUCGGUCCCGGAGAGGGGGCGGCGGCGAGGCGGGGGGUGAGGAGGAGGGGGCGCGCGAGCCGGUGCUGCUAGUGUCCGGGAUGGGCGGGUCGGUGCUGCACGCGCGGCGGCGGUCGGACACCAAGUUCGACCUCCGGGUCUGGGUGCGCAUCCUCCUCGCCGACCUCGAGUUCAAGAAGUACCUCUGGUCGCUCUACAACGCCCAGACCGGGUAUGUGGAAUCGUUGGACGACGACGUGGAGAUUGUGGUGCCGGACGACGAUCAUGGCCUCUUCGCCAUCGACGUUCUCGAUCCUUCCUGGUUUGUAGAGCUACUGCAUCUGACUAUGGUGUACCAUUUCCAUGAUAUGAUUGAUAUGCUCCUUGACUGUGGAUAUGAGAAAGGAACAACACUAUUUGGAUAUGGUUAUGAUUUUCGUCAAAGCAACAGGAUAGACAAAGCAAUGGCUGGUUUGAGAGCAAAACUUGAGACGGCUUACAAGGCCUCUGGUGGGAAAAAAGUAAACAUAAUCUCCCAUUCUAUGGGAGGAUUGCUAGUACGCUGUUUCAUGUCUAUGAAUCAUGAUAUAUUUUCAAAGUAUGUUAAUAAAUGGAUUUGCAUUGCUUGUCCAUUUCAAGGUGCCCCAGGAUGCAUCAAUGAUUCUCUUCUAACUGGACUGCAGUUUGUUUAUGGUUUUGAAAGUUUCUUUUUCGUUUCUCGAUGGGCGAUGCACCAACUGCUGGUUGAGUGCCCAUCAAUCUACGAAAUGCUGCCAAAUCCAAACUUUGAGUGGAAGGAAAAACCAUUCGUUCAGGUUUGGCGAAAGAAUCCUGAAAAGGAUGGAACAGUAGAGCUAGUUUUGUAUGAAGCAACUGAUUGUGUUUCUCUGUUUGAAGAAGCUUUACAAAAUAAUGAGCUCAAUUAUAAUGGGAAGACAAUUGCACUACCAUUCAAUAUGUCCAUCUACAAAUGGGCUACUGAGACUCGCUGUAUUCUUGAGAAUGCUGAACUACCAGAUACCGUGAGUUUUUAUAGUAUACAUGGGACAUCUUAUGAAACACCAUAUGAUGUUUGCUAUGGCUCUGAAAGCUCCCCAAUUGGAGAUCUCUCAGAAGUGUGCCGCACAGUGCCUACAUACACAUACGUGGAUGGAGAUUGCACUGUUCCUGUCGAAUCAGCCACGGCUGAUGGGUUCCCGGCGAAAGAAAGGGUAGGCGUCAGGGCCGACCACCGAGGGCUGCUGUGUGAUGAGAAUGUGUUCAAGCUUCUCAAGAAAUGGCUCGGCAUAAGCGAGAACACACGGGGUAGGGUGUCGAAAUCGCAAAUCAUGGACAUGCUCCCAGAAAGGACGUCUGAUCAGGUCACUCUCCGCAGAGACUAG
rnacentral:rRNA from 1 species